GUGAGAUCUCGGAAAAUUUAAAUAAAUAGGGUUAUUUCAUAAAUAGCCUUAUAAUAUUUUUCCGGAAUUUUUAGAAAUUUUCUGGGAAUUUAUCGGAGUUCGUACAACAAGUUUUGAGGGGUCGAUUUGACGGGUUCGGAUAAAGCUUAUUUGGGAGACCUAUUUAAGAGAGGAAAUGUUUAAUUAUAUAAAUCCCCUUUUCUUAUUUCUUUUCUCCCCAAACGCCGAUCCGACCCCGACCGACCUUUGCCCUCUCUGCCGACGCAAAUCCCCGAUCUCCCCUCUCUUCUUCCUAUCUUCUUCCCGAUCGCCUCCGCUCGUCACCGAUCACAGCCGCCUGUGCCGGUUGUCCAACCGUUGGCCAAGGCCCCUUCCGAUCUAGCCGAAGCCCUUUCUCUCUCUCGCUCCGAUCUCUCUGUUCUCUCACGCAAACGAUUCGACACCCCAGCGCCGACAGAGGGUUGUUUCCGACGAUCUCGUCCUCUUACGCCGCCUGAGUACCAUCGCCGGAUUCUUGACAUUGGUGACGCUGUCCAAGCUUUCUGGUGGAGCGAUUGCUUCACUGGCCGGUUCUUGUGCAUAAAUGAUGACGGCUCGGUGGCUAGGGCAUGGUGGAAGGCUUGGUUGGCAUUGUCUCCGAUCGAUUGACCCUUCGUUUUCCUCCUUCUUGAGUUGUUCACAAAACGAUCCGUAGCUCCUCAAGGUGGAUCGGAUUGGGUGAUACCUUAUGGAGACAACCGAUUGAGGGAGGUGUUCUUGAGCUGCCGGGCAGAGGCUAAAAGGAUGGUUGUGCUUGAUCAGUAGUCUUCCUGCUAGAUCCUUGCUUGAUCCGAUUGAUAGCAGCAAGGUGAGGUUAUGUUCCAUUUCUAUGGUGUUGAUUUCUUGAUCACCUAAGAUGUUAGAAGGAUUUUAGCAGCGAGGUUGUGUUACUGUGAUGCUGGAAUUGUGGUCAUUGAGGUGGUAUACAGCAGCGUUUCUAGUUCCAGCAACUCUCCAACAGCAGCUACUUUUCCUAGCAGCACCAUUUCUUUGUGUGGAUCAACAGAACAGUGCUAGGAAUUUAGGACUCUGAUUCGAGACAGGCG